rnacentral:rRNA from 1 species
UACGAAGGGGGCUAGCGUUGCUCGGAAUUACUGGGCGUAAAGCGCACGUAGCGGUCUCUUAAGUCGGUGGUGAAAUCCUGGAGCUCAACUCCAGAACUGCCUCGAUACUGGGGGACUCGAGUUCGGGGAGAGGUGAGUGGAACUGGCGAGUGUAGAGGUGAAAUUCGUAGAUAUUCGCAAGAACACCAGUGGCGAAGGCGGCUCACUGGCCCGAUACUGACGCUGAGGUGCGAAAGCGUGGGGAGCAAACAGG